GACUAAAUCGAUCUAAAUUAAUUUAACUCUAUUAAAUUAAGUAAUAAAGUUAGUGCAAGUCCACAAAUUUGUAUAUUCUUUUUGUAUAUUUUGAUAAUUCAUUUAAAUAAUUUUAUAAUUAAUCCAAAAACUAAAACAUCUUAUAUAAAUAUAAAAUACAUCAAUUGUUCGUUAACCCCUAAUAGUUUAUAAUUAAUCCAAAUAACCCCUAGUUACCACCUAACAAUUUCUUGAACAUUGCUUGUGAUGGAAAUCAUAACAGGAGUACCUGGAUUUGUAUCAGCAAAUAUGCCGUACCACUGGUCAUCUGUAAUAAACGAUGUUGCUCUCUCAACUGCACCGAGGUAGACACCCGGUCCAAGGCUUGGAGGUAAAGGAUGAAACAUUUUCUGGCUUGGAUAGUCCAAAUCAACUGCCACAUGCCGGUUAGUAAGGAAACCGACCUGAUGGUUACCGGUUCUGCUUCUCACUAUAGCUCCCAACGUUCCAUACGUUUCUUGGCUUGCAACCUACACAAUGGAAAACAAAACUGAGUCUUUACUUUUGAGUUUUUGCAGAAGAGGGAGCAACAAUAAAAAGAAGAAGAAGUACCUGAGAACCAGAGCCGAUGCAUGGAUCACUUCCUCUCAAACCAUCUACAAGUUCAUUAUAAACCUGUUCCUUUGGCGUUGCAGCAGGAGCACCGUAAUAUUGGAACUCCACAACAUCUACAUCGCACCAAACCCCUCCAGGACCCUAUUAAGAAACCAACACAUCACCUAUCAUGCUCAUGUAUGUAGAAUGGAAUUAAAUUUCAAAGAUAACUAAACCUCAAGAGCGGAAGGAAGACACUGCAUUGGAUUAAGCCAUUGCCUAUGAACUUUCCUAGCAACAAACACGAGAAUCGCCGGAGUAUUUGUCAGAACACCACGCGUGAUCCUGAACCCAACUGCAGUACCAAGACUAAACCGGCGCAGGAUUUUACUAUGAAACGCUCUGAUAGUCAUGAGCUCAAGCAAGGUAGUGGCUUGCUGUCCUGAAGGCAACCUCCCAACGAUUUCAGGCAAAACACCUUUCUGGAGAUUAGCAAAGUAGUUAGCUCGGUCUUCCACAGCAUUGUUGAGGCGGCUGAGAGUAGGCCAGGAGAAGUAAGGGGCGUUGCUCUCUCCGUGCUGGAUGUUGAAUGCGAAUGGAUUAAGAGAAGAUGGGCUUGAAGAGGACGGAAGACUCAUGUGGUUGCAGUGAUGGUUGGUUCUCGCCAAAUCCGAAGCACGAACCUGAAAGAAAGAGAGCCAGAAAAAGUGUCUUUAGUAGGCUUGUUAUGCCUCCAAGAGAACCUGUUGCUGAAAAGGAUCCUUCUCCGGUCGCUGAACCAGUCAAUGAGGUAAUGGCGUUUCUAAACGAAUGUCAAAAACAUCUGAUGGAGCAAAAAAGACCAGAUACAGCUGAUCCUGUAAGGUUUGUUAAACCCAAGAAGAAAAAGGAAAAGAAUCAUUCAAAAGAGGCACUUGACAAUGGUGCGAUGAUUCCUUUUACCGAGACUAGUCCUGGUGAUAUGUCUGAUUGUGAAGAAGGGGUGGAACAUAAGCAACCAUUCAUCGACUUUAAGCGUCGUAGCCAAGCUGAAAAGAGCAAUCUAAAUCAAGAGUGUAAAGAGAGCCUCGAAGAUUCAGCUCCUCAGGACAAGAAAAGGAAGCUGCUGAGGCCAAGACUAAUCGAAGAUGACUCGGAAAAGAAUAGAGGAAACAAUGAUAAUCCUAUUGAAACUGACACGGCCCCAAAGUCAGCUACUGAAGUCCCCCUCCUUGAUCUCCUUGCACGGUUUGGUCAAUAACCAUUCACACUGAGAUGGAAACAUGGAAACAGUAAAGGACAGAACAAGGCCUCUAGGAGAGGAUAUGUAUCCAAUUGAAUGUGGGCGUUGAUCCUUGGCAGUUGUCUUUUAGUUUCUUCCUAAGAUGAAGGUGGUCAAUCUUUUUUAUCUGUAUCUUCAUAAACAUGGUGGUCAUAUCAUAUCUAGUAGCAUUGAACAAUGCUUACAUGCUUUGGCAAAAGAGCAGUUUCAAGUUAGGAUUGCUUUGGUUUUUUUUUGAUGGGAUUGCUUUCAAUCUCAUUACUAGAAUUUUGUAAAUGACUUUGCAUAAGGCAAUUGGUGAAGAGGAGGAAUCUCAAUUUUUAGGAUGAGACAGAGAUUUAUUUGUGUGGUUUAUUUUUAUUUCAUAAAGCAAAGAUAAACCAAUAUACAUGUCUCCUCAAGCUCUCAACCUCAAGGCUGCUAUGGAGAGAGACAGAAGUAACAAACAUUAAUGUAUCUAGUUCAUAGCGUUUGGUCCAAAGCAUCUGUUCCUAGUAAGAUCCCAAACCCAUUGAAUCAAAUAUUUUCUUCUUCCAACUCCAUUCACAUUAUACACACUUCUCCACCUAUCCUUGUACACAAUCCCCAUAUACCCACCUCCACCUCCUGAUCCAUACACUCCCAAACACAAAUCCGCUAUCUCGGUCGGCGCCAUUGCAUCUUCUCCUCCGUACCAUCCGUUCAACAUAGGGUUACUCGACACUUCCGCCAGCUCAUGAGCUAUCACACUGAUCAUCCCAUCGAUUCCCACCUCUCCAUUUGGUGGUUUCAUCUUCUCUCUGCUCACAAACCCGCUUCCUGGAAACGGUUUAGGCUGCGCAAAAGGGUACGCGCACAUCUCCGGACACUGUUUCCUACUGUUCCCGACCCACACGUACGGCACCGUUGCACCAACGAUGGUUGAGAAAGUGAAGUAAUGGAACCCGCAGAUGGCUCUGCAGAACUCUUGCAUCUCUACAUCGUCUGAGGUCAGGACCAUGUACAAGCCGUUGAGAGAGUUUAGUGGUAGCUUGUUGGCGACGGCAGUUCUGAUGAUGGACUGGACAGAGAAGCGACUGAGUUGAGAUCCAUGAGAGUAGGUUGAGUCGUGGAACUCUCCGGACAAGACAAGUGUUCUGGUGAUGUUGGAACCUGUUUGGUCUCUGUAAAGCCUCACCGUCUUCCACCAGUCGAAUACUGAAGGAUACCGUGCCGGUGAAGAGACGGAGUAGAUGAAGUCUCUGAUUGUAGACUGGUGAGUUGGGUUCCAUCGACCGUACCAUAUGAUGUAAAGACUAGUCUCAGGCGAGGAUAUGACCGGACCCAUGUGGUAUUCAAGGUUUACAAGAUCGGAGGAGCCUUCGUAGUUCUUGCUUUCGUCGUAGAGUUGUCCAUCGGAUGUGAAAGAGAGUGAGAGGAAGAACAAGAAGAUGAGAGAGAUCAUCUUCUCAGGGGUUUUGUUUGUGAUUUGGUGAGUGAAGAACUUGGAGAUGUUAUUGGUGUUAUAAAUAGAAAGGUACAUGCACUCCAAAGUAGAAGAUAUUAGAUUAGAAACUCCAUUUGUAUGUAAUUUUUAAGUUUUAUACAUUAUGAUAUAUGUAUAAAUCAAUGAGGCUGUCGGUUAAGUAGAACUUUUAAGCUUGAUUGGUGGCACUGUUAGGGUUAGACAUAGAGCCCCACUUGACCAAAAGCAUGUUUACCACUAAUGAUUUCUUGUCAAAACUAAUGAAAAGAGGUACUAUGACCAUUAUUACAUAAAAUAGUAUAAGAUCCAAUAUCGGAAAGUGAAAAGCUUUAGAUGUUAGCCUAGAGAAUAGAGUAACGCAUUAACAUAAAAUUUCAACAGAGUUGGGAAAUCAUCUGGCAAGUUAUUUAAAUCAAAGAAAACAUUUUGUAUAUUCAAAUCUAAUAGUAUAACUUUUGAAUUAUAUGCUAUUCAUAAGUUUUAGUAAAUCUACAAAAUUAACAUGAUCAGUGAUCAAGAUUUACCAUCUAUCAUCGCUAGUCAAGUCACUUUUACAGUUUGACUAAACCAAUGGAAAGUCGUUAAACCUUUAAUUUUUAGAUUCUUGACAUAAUAGUAGACAUUAUGCUGAACAGUUCUAUAUGUAUUAGAUUAAAAGUUUAAAUAAAUUUAUUUAUAUUAAUCUGUAAUUGCAUCUUAUAGAACUUGAACAACAUGUUUCUUUCUUUGUACAAAAACAUUAAUGAAUUUUGAUCAAACACCGGAUUAGAACUUCUGUAUUUGUUUAUAUUUAUGUCUUAUUCUAGUAAAAAUAGGUUUAAGAAAAAUUAUCUAUAAAAAUUCUUUUAGAAAAUUUUAAAUUUUUUUUCUCAACUUGGGAUCCUCCUGAUUUUCUGAAAUGAAUUACUUAAAUUGACAAAAGUUUUAUCCCCGUGGAAAGCGACCUUUUUGCUUUUAACCAACCAACGCUCUUUUUCCAGAUAUGCGGUAGUCGGAACUGUGUUCUAAUUGGCUAAACCGGAAAUCAAAAGUCAAAACUUCUUAACCGUUACUCGGUUUAAUGUCCCACAUGGGUAUUAGUAUUACCUUUGAAUUUCAUAGAACUUAUGUUCAUGCAGUUCUGCUACAGUCUUCGAAUGUUAUUUUCGUACUUAAAGAAUAAUAAUACUAUGAACAAUUACGACAUAAAAUUUUUAGGGGAUUUAAUCAAUCGCCAUCAAACCAAACCGAACCGGGAACUGGUAAAGGGGAUCCAUUUUCGGUUUACUCCCCUUAACUUUCAGCUAAAAAAAACUUUGGUUUCUUUAGUUUAGGCUCACCAAGGUGCAACGAGAUGCUAACCUCAUCUUCUUCUUCAGAACUGCUCUUUAAAGCGACAAGAUCAUCAACUUUGAGUUUCUCUUGCCUUUGACUAGUAGAAGUAGACUCGUUAAACGACAACGGAGCAAUGAACACAUGUUCCUCUACUUCAGGCGUUGGUUUGAUAGCCUCUUCUAUACGAAACUCAGGCGGUAUAAACGGCUCAAAGCUCUCAUCUUGUUUGUCUCCUGAAGCAACCGGGUCCGGUGGUGAUGACUGGCAAACCGUUGAACCAAUGGCUGUAACCGAAGUGUUUCUCUGUCCUCUAGCAGCUGCUUUACACAAAGCCAAAACCAAUAAGGACAUGAAAGUGUGGGAACGUAAUGAAACAUGAAAGAGUUAUAAACCUUCGAGUUCAUGGUUUGAUGUGAUGAGAUCUAGCUCCAAGAGAUCCAAAAGCCGACCAAGAUCGACCCCGCUUGUCCAGUUCUCAGGUUCUCGUCCUGCUAUCAGUUUCAGCCGUCCUCUGUUUGCUGUACCACCCCAAAUGAUCCCAACCGGUCGUGGUUUCUGACCGUUUGGACUAGUUAAGAGUAUAAGGCUUCCACUGUCACCUUCGAGGUCAAAAGUCUGCUGGUUCUCACCAAUGACUAGAAAAUCAGUGAGGAAACAGAUCCCUUUCUCGUCGUUGUAUUCCAAAGCAUAAGCCAUAACGGUUCCAGUGGUGUAUCCAGAGCUUCUUCCAACUUUAACAACUUGUUUACCGAUAAGGGUAUCAAUAGGUGAUUGCAAGUCUAUGACGUGGACGUUGCCUAUCUCACCUAUGCCCUUUAUCACUGUGGUUACAUUGCUCAUACUGAAAUUUUCUGCAAAGGGAAUAAAUGCACCAUCCGCUCUCACAAAUGUUUCUGCAUUGGGAUGGAUACAAAACAAUGGUCAGUACGAAACAAGGAUGUCCAAUGUCCCACAUACAUUGACUUGUAAUCAUGGUUCUAAAAAUCGGUUUAGACCCCGCCGAGGCAUUUGUUGCCGUCACCUCGGUUCUAUCCAAAACGAUUUUCUUAAAAUAUGAUUUUAUCGGUUUAAACUGUUUAGAUUUGUUAAAAUCGGACUAAAUCGAUCUAAAUUAAUUUAACUCUAUUAAAUUAAGUAAUAAAGUUAGUGCAAGUCCACAAAUUUGUAUAUUCUUUUUGUAUAUUUUGAUAAUUCAUUUAAAUAAUUUUAUAAUUAAUCCAAAAACUAAAACAUCUUAUAUAAAUAUAAAAUACAUCAAUUGUUCGUUAACCCCUAAUAGUUUAUAAUUAAUCCAAAUAACCCCUAGUUACCACCUAACAAUUUCUUGAACAUUGCUUGUGAUGGAAAUCAUAACAGGAGUACCUGGAUUUGUAUCAGCAAAUAUGCCGUACCACUGGUCAUCUGUAAUAAACGAUGUUGCUCUCUCAACUGCACCGAGGUAGACACCCGGUCCAAGGCUUGGAGGUAAAGGAUGAAACAUUUUCUGGCUUGGAUAGUCCAAAUCAACUGCCACAUGCCGGUUAGUAAGGAAACCGACCUGAUGGUUACCGGUUCUGCUUCUCACUAUAGCUCCCAACGUUCCAUACGUUUCUUGGCUUGCAA
rnacentral:lncRNA from 1 species